rnacentral:rRNA from 1 species
UACAGAGGGUGCAAGCGUUGCUCGGAUUUACUGGGCGUAAAGCGUACGCAGACGGCUUGGUAGGUCGGAUGUGAAAGCCCCCGGGCUCAACCCCGGGAAUUGCAUCCGAAACCACCUCGCUCGAGUGUGGGAGAGGGAAGCGGAAUUCCUGGUGUAGAGGUGAAAUUCGUAGAUAUCAGGAGGAACACCGGCGGCGAAGGCGGCUUCCUGGCCCAUUACUGACGUUCAGGUACGAAAGCGUGGGGAGCAAACAGG